rnacentral:rRNA from 1 species
UACGGAGGGGGGCUAGCGUUGUUCGGAAUUACUGGGCGUAAAGCGCACGUAGGCGGAUAUUUAAGUCAGGGGUGAAAUCCCGGGGCUCAACCCCGGAACUGCCUUUGAUACUGGGUAUCUGGAGGUCGAGAGAGGCGAGUGGAAUUCCGAGUGUAGAGGUGAAAUUCGUAGAUAUUCGGAGGAACACCAGUGGCGAAGGCGACUCGCUGGCUCGAUACUGACGCUGAGGUGCGAAAGCGUGGGGAGCAAACAGG